rnacentral:sRNA from 2 species
AUUUCUAGAUCGCUGAAACCAUACGGUACGGGGGAACCAUUCUUUGCUGGGCGUUUAUUAUGCCCAUGGGGUGAAUCCUUUUUAAGGUAGGGCUACUCAAGGCCCGAAUCCGACAGCUAACCUCGUAAGCGUUAAUAUGAGAAGGA